CAAAAGCCCCCCGCUUACACCGAGGAGUUAUCUGUUUGACCCAGAUUAUUUUGAGCCUUAAAUCUAGCCCACACGAUCCGCAUGAUACUCCCCAACAUCUGUAAAAAAUAAAACAUUUUAACAUUUUAGUAUAGGCGAUAGAAAAAUUAUUAAGCGCUUUAGACAGAGUACCGCAAGGGAAAUAUGAAAUAGUAAUGAAACAAUUUUUAUAGCCACAAACAGCAGAGACACUCCCUCGUACCUUUCGCAUCAUGGUCUAGCUAGUCCACCCGAGCAAAAUGAAAAUUUUAGUUCGACACCCCGAAACUAGGCGAGCUACUUCAAAACAGCCCACAGGGGCCAACCCCUCUCUGUUGCAAAAGAGUGGGAAGAUUUUUAAGUAGAGGUGAUAAGCCUACCGAGCCUAGAGAUAGCUGGUUGUUCAGGAAAAGAGUUUUAGCUCUGCCUUAAGUUUUUUCAUUUCAUCAAACAAGCCCUUAAACUUAAGAGUUAUUCAAAUUAGGCACAGCUUAUUUGAAACAGGAUACAACCUCCACCACCGGGUAAAUAAGGGUAGUCAAAACUAAGUGGGCCUAAAAGCAGCCACCUUCCGAAAAGCGUCAAAGCUUAUCUACUCCAACCCACAAUUUCUAAAAUACUCCCUAACCCUUCAUUCCUACUGACCCCUUUUAUACUGUUAUAAAAAUAAUUAUGCUAGAACUAGUAACAAGAAGUCGCCCUUCUCCCUAAUGUAAGUAUAAACCAAAACGGACCUUCCAUUGGUAAUUAACGUAAAUGCAAACCCCAUAAUAACAUAACCAGAAAACCUUAUGGCCCCCCACGUUACCCUAACACUAGAACAUUACAGGAAAGAUUAAAAGAGAAAGAAGGAACUCGGCAAAUUUUAACCCCGCCUGUUUACCAAAAACAUCGCCUCUUGAUUAAACAUAGGAGGUCCAGCCUGCCCAGUGACAAAAUUCAACGGCCGCGGUACACUAACCGUGNGAAGGUAGCAUAAUCAUUUGUUCUUUAAAUAAGGACUAGUAUCAACGGC
rnacentral:rRNA from 1 species